rnacentral:rRNA from 1 species
AUUGAACGCUGGCGGCAUGCCUUACACAUGCAAGUCGAACGGCAGCACGGGAGCAAUCCUGGUGGCGAGUGGCGAACGGGUGAGUAAUGUAUCGGAACGUGCCCAGUCGUGGGGGAUAACGUAGCGAAAGCUACGCUAAUACCGCAUACGAUCUAUGGAUGAAAGCGGGGGAUCGCAAGACCUCGCGCGAUUGGAGCGGCCGAUAUCAGAUUAGGUAGUUGGUGGGGUAAAGGCUCACCAAGCCGACGAUCUGUAGCUGGUCUGAGAGGACGACCAGCCACACUGGGACUGAGACACGGCCCAGACUCCUACGGGAGGCAGCAGUGGGGAAUUUUGGACAAUGGGCGCGAGCCUGAUCCAGCAAUGCCGCGUGCAGGAAGAAGGCCUUCGGGUUGUAAACUGCUUUUGUACGGAACGAAACGGUCCUGGUUAAUACCUGUGGCUAAUGACGGUACCGUAAGAAUAAGCACCGGCUAACUACGUGCCAGCCGCCGCCGUAAGAC